GUGCCCUCUUCCUCUUCCCUUUUUUUCCCAAUCCACCUCCACCGAUCCACCUCCACCGAUCCACCUCCGGUCCUCCACACGGCUCCGCCCAAUUCCAGAAUCAGAGGUUAGCUUAGAGCAGUGCUUCUACAGUUCUACGUAUUCUACCUUUGAAUUUCAAAGGGUUUGGACAUACAUGGCCGAAUCUAUAUAAACGAACAAGGGAUUAACGCACAGUAUAGUGGGCCCUCAAAACAUUCUUUUGCAUAUGUUGAAUGGCUAAAAGAAGAUGACAGAUUUUUAGAUAUACUAGUUCAGACAUCUCCAGCGUUUAACGGGCAUGCCUUUCCCAAACUGAAGCUGCGAUAUAAGCCUUCACUUGUACAAGUAAGCAAUAUGUUUAUGUGUCUGCAUGUCUGUCCUUGCAUAUUUGUUUAAUUGUAUCCAAAUUUGAUUUAUUCCUUUUC